GAAGAGCACUGCAGAGAGAGCUGCUGGAGAAGAACAGCUGUUGGAGGGGAAAAUAAAUUUGGAUUACCAGGAGAAAGGAAAGAGAAAAUGUAGGAGGAAAGAAAGAACCAAGAGAACCAAGAAGAACCAAGGCUUUAACAAAUGUGAAUGGAGCUAUCCAGGAAGAACUGAGAUACCCCACAGAGAACUGUACAGCCUCAGGUGACAGAAAAGAAGAUAGAAUGUCGACUGUAAAGAGAGACGAACAUAAAGCCAUGACCAUCCAACAGACAAGCAAGAACUUAAACUUCAGUGAGAAAGAGGCUGAUGAGUGUGAUGUGAGAAAAGAGAGAGAGAGCAGUGAAAUGAAGCGCUGGAGUAUGGAUAAACACUUUGAUUUC